rnacentral:lncRNA from 1 species
UCGGGGCAUUGAGCCUCUUCAGAUGUUUCUUCAACCCUCUAGCCUGCACAUAAAUGUAAACCCACGUUCACUAAAUAAAUCAAGCAAUACAUUUCCACAAUGUAAAUCAUCGCAGGGUAUGCUGUAAAUAAAUCAAGUAAUACAUUUCCACAAUGUAAAGCAUCGCAGGGUAUGCUUUCAUAUCUAACUAGACACGAACCACAGCAAAUUAUCUCAAGAAAGAAUACUCUUUCAUAUACAGAAGGUUUCCAGAAUUCACGAGCCAUACCGAAGGAACAGAAUUAUAGUGCCCGAAUCAUUGAAUGUCUAAACCCAUUUUAAAACUACAAAUUAAGUUAUGUAAAUCAUGUACAGGAGUACAGGACAGGUCUCAACCCCAUAUAAACACUCAUCUCUUUGAUCUUCCCGAAAAAUCCCAGGAAAAGGGCAAAGGAACUGAGCACAAUACCAAGACAAUUAAAUGUAAAACUACCGAUCAGGACCCUAUUACCUUCAAAUAACAUCUCUAUCACAAAACUACAUGCAGGUAGAUUUAGUAUCACAUGAAGUUUCACAAGCAAAAUACUACAAAUACUACUACUACGCCUCAAUUAGUUGGCUAUAUGAAUCCUCAUUGUCCAUGUAGCUCCAUUUAAACCCAUCUCAGUCCAAUACUAUAGAUAUUACUUAUUUCUAGAACCAUCAGUUCUCUACAGUACAUCUACAAAAUAUUAAACAAGAGUUUUUUUGCUUAAACCCAUAUGAAAAAAAUGAAGAUUAGCCCUAUAGAGAAACACAAAUGAAACUUUUUACAGAUCCUUAAAGCAAAAAACAAUUCACAUAAUCUAUUUCUUGAUAACAUGAAUAACCAAAGCAAAAUUGAAACGAACCAAAUAAGCCCUUCACAAAUACUUAAA